AAACCGUGAUGUGGACAUUGUGUAGUGUAGCCUUCCCGGGCCUCACAAAAGGAUUCAAACUGUUUCUGGGUGAAACUGGAGAUUUCAUUCCUUAGCCU
rnacentral:snoRNA from 1 species